rnacentral:rRNA from 1 species
UACGUAGGGGGCAAGCGUUGUCCGGAUUUAUUGGGCGUAAAGAGCGUGUAGGCGGUUUGGUAGGUCCGUUGUGAAAACUCGAGGCUCAACCUCGAGACGCCGAUGGAAACCAUCAGACUAGAGUCCGGAAGAGGAGAGUGGAAUUCCUGGUGUAGCGGUGCAAUGCGCAGAUAUCAGGAAGAACACCCGUGGCUAAGGCGGCUCUCUAGUACGGUACUGACGCUGAGACGCGAAAGCGUGGGGAGCGAACAGG